UACAGAGGGUGCGAGCGUUGUUCGGAAUUACUGGGCGUAAAGCGUGCGCAGGCGGCUAUGCAAGACAGAUGUGAAAUCCCCGGGCUUAACCUGGGAACUGCAUUUGUGACUGCAUGGCUAGAGUACGGUAGAGGGGGAUGGAAUUCCGCGUGUAGCAGUGAAAUGCGUAGAUAUGCGGAGGAACACCGAUGGCGAAGGCAAUCCCCUGGACCUGUACUGACGCUCAUGCACGAAAGCGUGGGGAGCAAACAGG
rnacentral:rRNA from 1 species